rnacentral:rRNA from 1 species
AUUGAACGCUGGCGGCAGGCCUAACACAUGCAAGUCGAGCGGAUGAGUGGAGCUUGCUCCAUGAUUCAGCGGCGGACGGGUGAGUAAUGCCUAGGAAUCUGCCUGGUAGUGGGGGACAACGUUUCGAAAGGAACGCUAAUACCGCAUACGUCCUACGGGAGAAAGCAGGGGACCUUCGGGCCUUGCGCUAUCAGAUGAGCCUAGGUCGGAUUAGCUAGUUGGUGAGGUAAAGGCUCACCAAGGCGACGAUCCGUAACUGGUCUGAGAGGAUGAUCAGUCACCCUGGAACUGAGACACGGUCCAGACUCCUACGGGAGGCAGCAGUGGGGAAUAUUGGACAAUGGGCGAAAGCCUGAUCCAGCCAUGCCGCGUGUGUGAAGAAGGUCUUCGGAUUGUAAAGCACUUUAAGUUGGGAGGAAGGGCAGUAAGUUAAUACCUUGCUGUUUUGACGUUACCAACAGAAUAAGCACCGGCUAACUUCGUGCCAGCCGCCGCCGUAACAC